rnacentral:other from 2 species
GGCUCCCUGGGGUGUUUGCCAGUCGAUAAAGUCCUGAGCCGAUGCACUUUUAAAUGGAAGGUUUCACGCGCUGAUGUGUGCAUGUCCGCUUGCCGGAAAGCCUGAUUCAGUGCCUGGCCUGCCACCUUGGACCAGUUGGGUUCAAGGCCUUUAUUUACGACAGCGGCACAGCGGGGAGUCC